UGAGGUAGUAGGUUAUGUAGUU
rnacentral:miRNA from 1 species